rnacentral:rRNA from 1 species
UACAGAGGGUGCAAGCGUUGUUCGGAAUUAUUGGGCGUAAAGGGCGCGUAGGCGGUUUCUUAAGUCGGAUGUGCAAUCCCCGGGCUCAACCUGGGAACUGCAUCCGAGACUGGGAGGCUAGAGUACUGGAGAGGGUGGUGGAAUUCCCCGUGUAGCGGUGAAAUGCGUAGAGAUGAGGAGGAACACCAGUGGCGAAGGCGGCCACCUGGACAGUAACUGACGCUGAGGCGCGAAAGCGUGGGUAGCAAACAGG